AUUGAACGCUGGCGGCAUGCUUUACACAUGCAAGUCGAACGGCAGCGCGGGCUUCGGCCUGGCGGCGAGUGGCGAACGGGUGAGUAAUGCAUCGGAACGUGCCCAGUAGUGGGGGAUAGCCCGGCGAAAGCCGGAUUAAUACCGCAUACGACCUGAGGGAGAAAGCGGGGGACCGAAAGGCCUCGCGCUAUUGGAGCGGCCGAUGUCGGAUUAGCUAGUUGGUGGGGUAAAGGCUUACCAAGGCGACGAUCCGUAGCUGGUCUGAGAGGACGACCAGCCACACUGGGACUGAGACACGGCCCAGACUCCUACGGGAGGCAGCAGUGGGGAAUUUUGGACAAUGGGGGCAACCCUGAUCCAGCCAUGCCGCGUGCGGGAAGAAGGCCUUCGGGUUGUAAACCGCUUUUGUUCGGGAAGAAAUCCUCUGGGCUAAUACCCCGGGGGGAUGACGGUACCGGAAGAAUAAGCACCGGCUAACUACGUG
rnacentral:rRNA from 1 species